UACGUAGGGUGCAAGCGUUGUCCGGAAUUAUUGGGCGUAAAGAGCUCGUAGGCGGUCUGUCGCGUCGGCUGUGAAAGUCCGGGGCUCAACUCCGGAUCUGCGGUGGGUACGGGCAGACUAGAGUGAUGUAGGGGAGACUGGAAUUCCUGGUGUAGCGGUGAAAUGCGCAGAUAUCAGGAAGAACACCCGUGGCGAAAGCGGCUCUCUGGGACGGUACUGACGCUGAGACGCGAAAGCGUGGGGAGCGAACAGG
rnacentral:rRNA from 1 species